UAAUUGAAGGAUAAUUCGACGCGGAGGACAACGUCGUUUUGGAUUACGACAAGGUUACGGCGUCCGAUUGAGAGAUUUGUGGAAUUCGGUUCGUUAGGCUUGGGUCGAGCCGAACCGGACAACGUGUGCCGCGGGAGCCCGAUUGCAAGUGACUACAAGCAAUCGGAUAGCAUUGCGAGGUGGGUUGUGCUUCACCGAAGUGAUUAGGUCAUUUCAAUGUCAAAGUGAAGUGGUUUGUCGUUGAUGCAUGUAGCGGUAGUUAAUUAUAUAUAUGAAUG
rnacentral:lncRNA from 1 species